rnacentral:rRNA from 1 species
GAUGAACGCUGGCGGCGUGCCUAAUACAUGCAAGUCGAGCGAACAGAUGAGGAGCUUGCUCCUCUGACGUUAGCGGCGGACGGGUGAGUAACACGUGGAUAACCUACCUAUAAGACUGGGAUAACUUCGGGAAACCGGAGCUAAUACCGGAUAAUAUAUUGAACCGCAUGGUUCAAUAGUGAAAGACGGUUUUGCUGUCACUUAUAGAUGGAUCCGCGCCGCAUUAGCUAGUUGGUAAGGUAACGGCUUACCAAGGCAACGAUGCGUAGCCGACCUGAGAGGGUGAUCGGCCACACUGGAACUGAGACACGGUCCAGACUCCUACGGGAGGCAGCAGUAGGGAAUCUUCCGCAAAGGGCGAAAGCCUGACGGAGCAACGCCGCGUGAGUGAUGAAAGUCUUCGGAUCGUAAAACUCUGUUAUUAGGGAAGAACAAAUGUGUAAGUAACUAUGCACGUCUUGACGGUACCUAAUCAGAAAGCCACGGCUAACUACGUG